UACAGAGGGAGCAAACGUUGUUCGGAAUUACUGGGCGUAAAGGGCGCGUAGGCGGUUCGAUAAGUCCCGUGUGAAAUCCCUCGGCUCAACUGAGGAAUGGCACGGGAAACUGACGGGCUUGAGUUCGGGAGAGGGAAGCGGAAUUCCGGGUGUAGCGGUGAAAUGCGUAGAUAUCGUUUGGAACGCCAAUGGUGAAAACAGGUUGCUGGGAGUGCGCUGACGCUGAGACACGAAAGCCAGGGGAGCAAACGGG
rnacentral:rRNA from 1 species